rnacentral:rRNA from 1 species
GAAAUUUGCCUUGAAGUGGGGGAUAGCCCGGAGAAAUCCGGAUUAAUACCGCAUGUGCUCUACGGAGCAAAGCGGGCCUCUUCUUGAAAGCUCGCGCUUUGAGAUAAGUCUACGUCGGAUUAGCUUGUUGGUAGGGUAAAGGCCUACCAAGGCGACGAUCCGUAGCUGGUUUGAGAGGAUGAUCAGCCACACUGGGACUGAGACACGGCCCAGACUCCUACGGGAGGCAGCAGUGGGGAAUAUUGGACAAUGGGCGCAAGCCUGAUCCAGCAAUGCCGCGUGUGUGAAGAAGGCCUGCGGGUUGUAAAGCACUUUUAUUGGGAAAGAAAAACCUGGGGUUAAUACCCCUUGGGUCUUGACGGUACCCAAAGAAUAAGCACCGGCUAACUCAGUGCCAGCAGCCGCGGUAAUACUGAGGGUGCAAGCGUUAAUCGGAAUUACUGGGCGUAAAGCGAGUGUAGGCGGCUUCGUAAGUCGGAUGUGAAAGCCCCGGGCUUAACCUGGGGAAUGGCAUUCGAUACUGCGCGGCUAGAGUCUGAUAGAGGG